GUUCUCAGUUCGGAUCGGAGUCUGCAACCCGACUCCGUGAAGCUGGAUUCGCUAGUAAUCGCGCAUCAGCCAUGGCGCGGUGAAUACGUUCCCGGGCCCUGUACACACCGCCCGUCAAGCCAUGGGAGCCGGGGGUGCUUGAAGUGCGUCGCCGCAAGGCGCGCCCUAGAGCAAAACCGGUGACUGGGGCUAAGUCGUAACAAGGUAUC
rnacentral:rRNA from 1 species